UGUUCAAAAAAUCCACGAACUGAACCGAACCGCUAAACUGAACCGAACUGAAGUUAAAAUAACCAAACCAUUAUAUUUGGUUAGUGAACCGAACCGCUAUGUUAUUAACGGUUCUAGAACCGAACCAAAUUAAAACUAACCAAACAUAAACCAAAACUGAACCAUUAAUUUUAAAAGAUCAAUAUUAAACUAUAGUUGAAACCAAAACACUGAAACCAUCGUUGAAAACCAAAACACCAAAAACUGAACCCAAAUUGUUGAAGCUAGAAAGAACCCUAAAUUCCCAAAUUGUUGAACUUGAAGCUCCAAAGAUGAAGAACCCUAAAUUCCCAAAUCGUUGAAGUUGUGUUUCCCUCUCUCAGUCGCAUUUGCAUUUUCAUUACCAAAUCACAAGCUCUUCACCGCGCACUCGUUCUGCUCCAGUUCAGCUUUCAGCCAUCUCCUCUAUACUGUGUUGAUUUUCAUCUUUCAAAGGUUCAUAACCCAAACUAAACUUGUAGCUCGAGAAGUGUUGGCUAUUACCGCAUCUACUGUAGCUUCAGAAUCUGCUUUCAGCACGGGUGGAAGGGUUGUUAGUGAUUAUCGCACUUGUCUAACACCUAAAAUGGUAGAAGCGCUUGUUUGCACGCAAGAUUGGUUGAAAGGAAAAUCCAUCUCCUUAUUUUCUGAGGAGGACCUUGAUGAGAUUCAUCAAUUAGAGCAAGAGAUAACAUCUCCGACAUCGGUAAAUCUUGAUGAUGAUGAAGACUUUGCAAGUUAAAAGAGUUUCAGAAGACCCUAGUUUAAUUUUAGUUGAUUUUGGUUUAAGAACUAGUCCGAAUAAAUUUUUGUUUAAGAAAUGGUUCGAUUGAAUUUUGGUUUAAGAAGAGUUGUAUUUAGAUACUAGGAUUGACUUUUUUGAGCUUAUCUACUGAUAUAAGUUUUGUGACACUGUUUGCGAGACUUUAUCAAAAUAGCUUAUGACAUUUUUUAUAA